UUUCCGUAGGUGAACCUGCGGAAGGAUCAUUCAUAAUAAAGUGUUUUAUGGCACUUUUUAAAAAUCCAUAUCCACCUUGUGUGCAAUGUUAGAUCUCGUCAAUCUUGGCGAGAUUUUUAUACAUCAACUCAUUCUUUAACUAAUUUGUCUGAAAAAUAUUAUGAAUACUUAAUUCAAAACACAACUUUCAACAACGGAUCUCUUGGCUCUC
rnacentral:misc_RNA from 1 species